GACGAACGCUGGCGGCGUGCUUAACACAUGCAAGUCGAACGAGUGGCGAACGAGUGAGUAACACGUGGGUGACCUGCCCUGCACUUCGGGAUAAGCCUGGGAAACUGGGUCUAAUACCGGAUAGUGUGGGAUGGGCCCGCGGCCUAUCAGCUUGUUGGUGGGGUAAUGGCUACCAAGGCGCGACGGGUAGCCGGCCUGAGAGGAUGAUCAGCCACACUGGGACUGAGACACGGCCCAGACUCCUACGGGAGGCAGCAGUGGGGAAUAUUGCACAAUGGGCGCAAGCCUGAUGCAGCCAUGCCGCGUGUAUGAAGAAGGCCCUAGGGUUGUAAAGUACUUUCAGUCGGGAGGCGUUACCGACAGAAGAAGCACCGGCUAACUCCGUGCCAGCAGCCGCGGUAAUAC
rnacentral:rRNA from 1 species